UACGUAGGGUGCGAGCGUUAAUCGGAAUAACUGGGCGUAAAGUGUGCGCAGGCGGCCGCGCAAGUCGAGUGUGAAAGCCCCGAGCUUAACUUGGGAAUUGCGCUCGAAACUACGUGGCUGGAGUGUGGCAGAGGAAGGUGGAAUUCCACGUGUAGCGGUGAAAUGCGUAGAGAUGUGGAGGAACACCGAUGGCGAAGGCAGCCUUCUGGGCCAACACUGACGCUCAUGCACGAAAGCGUGGGGAGCAAACAGG
rnacentral:rRNA from 1 species